rnacentral:rRNA from 1 species
AUUGGACGCUGGCGGCAUGCUUUACACAUGCAAGUCGAACGGCAGCGCGGGGCAACCUGGCGGCGAGUGGCGAACGGGUGAGUAAUAUAUCGGAACGUACCCAGAAGUGGGGGAUAACGUAGCGAAAGUUACGCUAAUACCGCAUACGAUCUACGGAUGAAAGUAGGGGACCGCAAGGCCUUAUGCUUUUGGAGCGGCCGAUAUCUGAUUAGCUAGUUGGUGAGGUAAAGGCUCACCAAGGCGACGAUCAGUAGCUGGUCUGAGAGGACGACCAGCCACACUGGAACUGAGACACGGUCCAGACUCCUACGGGAGGCAGCAGUGGGGAAUUUUGGACAAUGGGCGCAAGCCUGAUCCAGCAAUGCCGCGUGAGUGAAGAAGGCCUUCGGGUUGUAAAGCUCUUUUGUCAGGGAAGAAACGGUAGAGGCUAAUAUCCUUUGCUAAUGACGGUACCUGAAGAAUAAGCACCGGCUAACUACGUG